rnacentral:rRNA from 1 species
UCCCCGCGGUCCAAGUCGCAGCCAUCAUUAUUGGGUAUAAAACAUCCGUAGCUUGUUUGGUAAGUUUCCUGUGAAAUCUUGUCUCUUAAGGGCAAGGCGUGCGGGAAGUACUGCUAAGCUAGAGACUGGAAGACGCAAGAAGUAUGUUCGAAGUAGCGGUAAAAUGUUUUAAUCUCGGACAGACUCACAACAGCGAAGGCAUCUUGCGAGGACAGUUCUGACAGUGAGGGAUGAAGGCUAGGGGCGCAAAAGG